rnacentral:rRNA from 1 species
UACAGAGGUCUCAACCGUUGUUCGGAUUCAUUGGGCGUAAAGGGUGCGUAGGCGGCGGGGCAAGUCAGGUGUGAAAUCUCGGGGCUCAACCCCGAAACUGCACUUGAUACUGCCUUGCUCGAGUACUGGAGAGGAGACUGGAAUUUACGGUGUAGCAGUGAAAUGCGUAGAUAUCGUAAGGAAGACCAGUGGCGAAGGCGAGUCUCUGGACAGUUACUGACGCUCAGGCACGAAAGCAUGGGGAGCAAAAGGG